CCAUCUGCAGUGAGGUGAAAUUUGAGGGAGUGCCCCUUGCAUUCAUUUGCAAAGCAAAAUCAUUCCUAGGUGCAGGCGUUUUUGGGAAGAAGGAAAGGACAAAGAACAUCCAGACAUCAUAAGGCAGCAGUCUGUGUCCAAAGCAUACCCCAGUGCAGUUUCACAGCUGCCAGCAGAGAGGGGUAAUGAUUCCUCUAUCAGGGAAUGUGGAGGAAAGAGACCACACAGAAUAUCCUCCUCCAAAUGCUGGAGUUGAAACAUUAACUUCUCUUGGGCCAGAAAGAUUUGGGAGCUCCAUGGCAACCUUCACAUCUUGUUUGAAGGAUAAUGUUGUUUACUACCAGGCAUGAAGUGAGAAACUUACAGCUACCGAAGCCAAAUGCUUUCAAGGUAUUUGCUACUGAGAGGUGACUAAAAGACAAUUUUUAUAGCAACCACAGUUGUUUGUGGGCGCUGUUGUAGUUCUCAGCUCGGGCUGCAAGUGAGAAGGAGAGCUGCUGGCUCUGUCUCUAAAGCAAGCGCCGGGAGCCCGGGUUUCUGAGGACGUGCUGGUGCUGCAGCCACGCUCUCAGGGCAGAGCCAGGCUGAAAGGAGGAGCUGGCUGUGAGCAGGGACUGAGCCCCUUCAUCAGCUGUGCCUGUCUGCACAGCCAAGGGGGAAGGCAGCAUUUCAGCCUGGAGCUAACCCUGAGAGGGUGCAUGGUGCUCUGCAAGGCAGCACUCAGGCUCACACUCAUGCCAGCUCAUAAAAGUGGCUGACCUGGGGCUCCUGGCUGCCAAGGGAGGAGGAUUGAUAUUCUUUAGGGAGAUCCACCCCUCCACAGACCCCAGGCACCCUACAAGUACUCAUCUAAUGAGAAUUUCGAUGACUGAGUCUUUGGAAAGAGGGAAUAUUGGCAUCUCGGAGAUAACUGGAGAGAUAACUCAUGUCUUGCAUCUCUUCAGUCAUCUUAAACUCUCUGAAUCUUAUCAUGCUCUCCUAGGACUCACAAGUUGCAAACCCAGUUCUUUUUUAAAAGUACCUUCUAUUUAAUAACCAAAGAAAUGCACACUAGUCCAAAUCCCUCUGCCAAAUAAAUCUGUCAGUAAGGAACUCACCCCUAAAAAUUGCUUUGGCCCAACAUUUCCUGUACAUAAUAUUAAACUUACUCCUGCACUAUCAACAAAUUUUAAGAUCCUAUAUCUCAGGGAUUGCAACAGAGUCCGGAAAAGCUGAAGAUCAUAAAUGAAACCUUCAGAUCAUACUGAGAUUUUUUUUUUAUUCUAAUCACAUCGAGUUCAUGGCCCCACUGCUUAUCUGGGAA